CUGCACGGUGGUGCAGUUGGUAGCACUGUUGCCUUGCAGCCACAAGGUCCUGGGUUCAAUUCCCAGCCUGGAGU